rnacentral:rRNA from 1 species
UACGUAGGUGGCGAGCGUUAUCCGGAUUUAUUGGGCGUAAAGAGGGCGUAGGCUGCCUUUCAAGUUGGAUGUAAAAUCUCCCGGCUUAACUGGGAGGGAUCAUUCAAUACUGUUAGGCUAGAGGGCAGCAGAAGGAGGCGGAAUUCCCGGUGGAGUGGUGAAAUGCGUAGAUAUCGGGAGGAACACCAGUGGCGAAGGCGGCCUCCUAGGCUGUUUCUGACGCUGAGGCCCGAAAGCGUGGGGAGCGAACAGGAUUAGAUACCCGCGUA